rnacentral:rRNA from 1 species
ACGGAGGGUGCAAACGUUGCUCGGAAUCAUUGGGCGUAAAGCGCACGUAGGCGGCCUGUUAAGUCGGAUGUGAAAGCCCCGGGCUCAACCUGGGAACUGCAUCCGAUACUGGCGGACUAGAGUGUGAUAGAGGAUGGCGGAAUUCCCGGUGUAGCGGUGAAAUGCGUAGAGAUCGGGAGGAACAUCCGUGGCGAAGGCGGCCAUCUGGAUCAACACUGACGUUGAGGCACGAAAGCGUGGGGAGCAAACAGGA